rnacentral:pre_miRNA from 8 species
GUAAGAGCAGCCCCAGGCCUCGCUGUUCUCUAUGGCUUUUUAUUCCUAUGUGAUUCUACUGCUCACUCAUAUAGGGAUUGGAGCCGUGGCGCACGGCGGGGACAGCCAGCGGAGGGCUCU